rnacentral:pre_miRNA from 1 species
UCUUAUGGAUGAGCAAAGAAAGUAGUUUCUUGUGAUGGAAACUGCUCCUGGCAAAAAUGCUGUGAA